AUUGAACGCUGGCGGUAGGCCUAACACAUGCAAGUCGAACGGUAACGGACCGCUGGGAUUCCUUCGGGAUGACCUUGGUGCCGACGAGUGGCGCAAGGGGUGAGUAUCACGUGAAUAAUCUGCCCUCGAGAUCGGGAUAACAUGGUGAAAACUAUGCUAAUACCGGAUAAGACCACAUUUCAUAAGAAAUGCGGUAAAAGGAGUCUCAAUCUUCACUCGAGGAUGAGUUCGCGCAACAUUAGCUUGUUGGUGAGAUAAAAGCUCACCAAGGCUACGAUGUUUAGCCGGCCUGAGAGGGUGAACGGCCACACUGGAACUGAGACACGGUCCAGACUCCUACGGGAGGCAGCAGUGGGGAAUAUUGCGCAAUGGGCGAAAGCCUGACGCAGCAACGCCGUGUGAGCGAUG
rnacentral:rRNA from 1 species